rnacentral:sRNA from 1 species
UUUUAGCCCCGAUUGAAGCAAGUAUCCUUUUUUAAAUAAGGCGUCUCGACUGCGCUCGACGUGACAAAAAAGAUACUGCGGAAAGCGGGAAAAUGG